CACAGAGAGCUUGCUCUUGGGUGACGAGUGGCGGACGGGUGAGUAAUGUCUGGGAAACUGCCCGAUGGAGGGGGAUAACCACUGGAAACGGUGGCUAAUACCGCAUAAUCUCGCGAGAGCAAAGUGGGGGACCUUCUGGCCUCACGCCAUCGGAUGUGCCCAGAUGGGAUUAGCUUGUUGGUGGGGUAAAGGCUCACCAAGGCGACGAUCCCUAGCUGGUCUGAGAGGAUGACCAGCCACACUGGAACUGAGACACGGUCCAGACUCCUACGGGAGGCAGCAGUGGGGAAUAUUGCACAAUGGGCGCAAGCCUGAUGCAGCCAUGCCGCGUGUAUGAAGAAGGCCUUCCGGGUUGUAAAGUACUUUCAGCGGGGGAGGAAGGUGAUGAGGUUAAUAUACCGUAUCAAUUGACGUUACCCCGCAGAAGAAGCACCCGGCUAACUCCCGUGCCCAGCAGCCGGGGUAAUACGGAGGGUGCAAGCGUUAAUCGGAAUUACCUG
rnacentral:rRNA from 1 species